ACCUAGGAGACAAAUCUCCUGGCAUGUCACUGAAGUUACUACACUGGGUUAACUGAGGGAGGAAGACCCGCCCUAGAUAUGGAUGUCACCAUCCCAGGGGCUGGGGGCCUAGACAGAAUGAAAAGCAGAAAGAGAACUGAGCACUGGCACUCAUCUGGCCCUGCAUCACAAACGCAGAAGCAACGUGACCAGACUCCUCAAGCUCCCAUUGCCAUGACGUUGCCGCCACGAUGGAGCAUGUCCUUCCACCGUGAGCCCAAAUAACCUUCCUUACUUCAGCUGUUUCAUCAGAGUCUGGUGAAGCCUAGGCUGGUCUUGAACUCAUCACACAGUGGAGCAUGGCCUAGAGCUCCGACUCCUUCCACUUCCCAGUGCAGGGACUUCAGACAGGAUUUCCCUUGCUCUGGCUGUCCUGGAACUCACUAUGUUAAGACCAGGCUGCACCAGGACCACAUAGAUCUGCCUACCCCUGCUUUCCUGGUGCUAAGAUUAAAGGUAUGUGCUAGCACAGGUGGCCAGUGUCUUUUCAAUUACAAUGAUAAUGCAGAUAAGAUACACUGCAAGUAUGCAACAUGAUGGUGUGGGCUGAGGGGACUUAGUGGGUAAAGGGCUUGCUAAAGCAUGAGGACCUGAGUUCAGAUUUCUAGCACAAACAUUAAAGCCAGAUGUAGUGGCAUACAUCUAUAACCCUAGAACCAGAGAAGGGGUGUGAGAAAGGCAGAUCCGGGGUCCUGUUGGCCUGUCUGGCUGAGAUGGUAUUCUCAGUUCAGUAAGAGAUCUGGAGGAAAAAAAAAAAAGAAAAGAAAAAGGAAAGAGGAAAAAAAAAAAAAAGAGAGAGAUCUUGAGAAAAUGUAAUGUAAUGGCCUAGAUUUCACCAGAGGAUGAUCUGGGACACCCACAUUUGCACAACAGCCCUAGGAAUCACAUCUUUGGUCUUCUUCUCAGAGGUGCCCAUAGCUCAGCUGCUGGGUAGCAUCUAGGAGGGGCUAUUAUACCUGAGCCACAGGCUCCUAUGCUGAAUAGAGCUUUUGGAAAAGAGAAACAGCUGGAAUGUGGCCAAUUCCAUAUACCUCUCUUGGGAAAGAGUGCUUAGCAGCUUUACCCACAUUUACAUCUUCCCUCCUGGGAUGGGGGACUUGGGCCUUCAUUCCAGGAAGCCCUAGCUUGGAAGAGCAGGGAUCAGUCAUUUGAGAGAGGCCAGGCUGGCAUCUUGUACAGAGGAACAGGCCUGGGGACACAAUCCACAGACACAGGAUUCAGGGCUUCACACCAGCGGCUCUGUCUUCGACCAAAUAAAAAGCAGUCUACGAACAGGUAGAAAACUCUUUACAAGUUUAUUUGACAUUAAACCUUUCCCCUGGGCUGCACAUUAGUUCCUCAAAGGCA